UGAAGCAGCAUUAAGUUAAGUGAUCUCCCACUGUACUUUCAAGUAGUAUAACACAGACACAAGUUUGCCACCUCAGAAAGAACUAGGGAUGUGUGAGCCAGUUCAAUUCAAACCACUAUAGGAAUAGAACCAGCCCAGUUUGAGCAGUCCAAGGUCAAACUGGGCCAGCCCCCAAAAGCAGCGUUCUGGUCCAAGUUCGAACUGCCUUCACAGUGUCCUCCAUUAAGAAUACACCUAAAUGCUUCCCAAAGAAGUUGAACUGAUGUAUCAGAUUCUUCAAGGCAACAUGUUUAAAUGCUCCAGAUUACGCUCUGAAGUUUUUUUACCACUUCUGGAACUAUUUAGAAGCUGAAGUUUACACUAUAAAACAGCAUAAAGCUCCAUUUUGCAUUGUUUUUACAGACUCUAUUGGAACAGUAUAACAUUUCUAUUAUGAUGUUCCACAGCGCCACAGGUGCAAAUUACUGGCACAUUCAAGGAAAGAAAAAGAUACGAGAUGCAAAGUAUCAGCACUAAACACGCUGCCAAGCUAUUAAAGACUGAGGAUGGCAGAGUUACUUACAUUUUGCAGCUGGACUCGGCUUUGGACCCUGGUCUCUGAUUUUGCCAUCAUGCUGGAAGCAUUAAGGCUGUAGGUUUUUCCAUUCUGUGUUUCUUUCAGCUGUUCCUGAAUAUGUUUUGUUUGUUUCCUGCAGAGAAGAAAACCCAAAUAUGUCCAAAUAAAGGGAGAUAUUGAUAUUUUUCA